rnacentral:rRNA from 1 species
UACGUAGGGGGCGAGCGUUGUCCGAAGUUACUGGGCGUAAAGAGCGCGUAGGCUGGUCUUUAAGUGAGUGGUGAAAGGUUCGGGCUCAACCCGGACACUGCCUUUCAUACUGGGGACCUUGAGUGUGGGAGAGGCGAGUGGAAUGGUCGGUGUAGCGGUGAAAUGCGUAGAUAUCGGGAGGAACACCUGUGGCGAAAGCGGCUCACUGGACCAUAACUGACGCUGAUGCACGAAAGCUGGGGGAGCAAACAGG